rnacentral:hammerhead_ribozyme from 1 species
AUCCAGCUGACGAGUCCUUAAUAAGACCAAAUGCGUGUCCUGGAU